AGCGAACGCUGGCGGCGUGCCUAACACAUGCAAGUCGAACGUGAAAAGGGAAACCUGAGUAAAGUGGCGUACGGGUGAGUAACGCGUAGGUAAUCUACCCCAGAAUCUGGAAUAACCUGCCGAAAGGCGGGCUAAUACUGGAUAGAGCGAGGGAACUCGUAAGAGAGUUUUUCGGGAAAGGGAGCCCGCAAGGGCCUUCGUUCUGGGAUGAGCCUGCGUCUCAUUAGCUAGUUGGUAAGGUAACGGCUUACCAAGGCGAUGAUGAGUAGCUGGUCUGAGAGGAUGAUCAGCCACACUGGAACUGAAACACGGUCCAGACUCCUACGGGAGGCAGCAGUGGGGAAUCUUGCGCAAUGGACGAAAGUCUGACGCAGCCACGCCGCGUGAGUGAAGAAGGCCUUCGGGUUGUAAAGCACUUUUGACUGGGACGAGGAAGGACGGUACCGGUCGAAUCAGCCUCGGCUAACUACGUG
rnacentral:rRNA from 1 species